rnacentral:rRNA from 1 species
CUUCAGAUUGAACGCUGGCGGCAGGCCUAACACAUGCAAGUCGAGCGGAAACGAUCCUAGCUUGCUAGGAGGCGUCGAGCGGCGGACGGGUGAGUAAUGCAUAGGAAUCUGCCCGGUAGUGGGGGAUAACUUGAGGAAACUCAAGCUAAUACCGCAUACGCCCUACGGGGGAAAGCAGGGGCUCUUCGGACCUUGCGCUAUCGGAUGAGCUUAUGUCGGAUUAGCUGGUUGGUGAGGUAACGGCUCACCAAGGCGACGAUCCGUAGCUGGUCUGAGAGGAUGAUCAGCCACAUCGGGACUGAGACACGGCCCGAACUCCUACGGGAGGCAGCAGUGGGGAAUAUUGGACAAUGGGGGCAACCCUGAUCCAGCCAUGCCGCGUGUGUGAAGAAGGCCCUCGGGUUGUAAAGCACUUUCAGCGAGGAAGAAUGCUUGUCGGUUAAUACCCGGCAAGGGAGACAUCACUCGCAGAAGAAGCACCGGCUAACUCCGUGCCAGCAGCCGCGGUAAUACGGAGGGUGCGAGCGUUAAUCGGAAUUACUGGGCGUAAAGCGUGCGUAGGCGGCUUGAUAAGCCGGUUGUGAAAGCCCCGGGCUCAACCUGGGAACGGCAUCCGGAACUGUUAGGCUAGAGUGCAGGAGAGGAAGGUAGAAUUCCCGGUGUAGCGGUGAAAUGCGUAGAGAUCGGGAGGAAUACCAGUGGCGAAGGCGGCCUUCUGGACUGACACUGACGCUGAGGUACGAAAGCGUGGGUAGCAAACAGGAUUAGAUACCCUGGUAGUCCACGCCGUAAACGAUGUCGACUAGCCGUUGGGGUCCUCGAGACCUUUGUGGCGCAGUUAACGCACUAAGUCGACCGCAUGGAU